AAUUUUCGGCAAUGGGGGCAACCCUGACCGAGCGACGCCGCGUGAGUGAAGAAGGCGUUCGGGGUGUAAAGCUCUGUUGUAAGGGAAGAACUGUAGUGAUAGGGAAUGAUCACUACUUGACGGUAUCUUACCAGAAAGCCACGGCUAACUACGUGUCAGUAGCAGCGUUAAUACGUAUGUGGCAAGCGUUAUCCGGCAUUAUUGGGCCUAAAGGAAACACAGGCGGUUUAUUAAGUCAGCUGUUACAACACGGCGCUCAACUUCGUGAUGCAUUAGAACCUGGUAGACUAGAAUGCAGGAGACGUGAGUGGAAUCCCAUGUGUAGCGGUAAAAUGCAUAGAUAUAUGGAGGAACACCAGUGGCGAAGGCGGCUCACUGGCCUGUAACUGACGCUGAGGCUCGAAAGCGUGGAGAGCAAAUA
rnacentral:rRNA from 1 species